GGAAGGAGAAGUCGUAACAAGGUUUCCGUAGGUGAUCCUGCGAAGGAUCAUUG
rnacentral:rRNA from 1 species